UACGGCCAUAUCACGUUAAAACAUUGGUUCCCGUAUGAUCACCGAAGUUAAUCAGUGUCGAACGUGUUCAGUACCUACAUAGGCGACCGCUUGGGAAUAUCAAGUACAG